CAGGAGAAGAAAAUCAUUGCAGACAUCAAGAAGAUGGCCAAGCAGGGCCAGAUGGAUGCUGUGCACAUCAUGGCAAAAGACCUAGUGCGCACUAGGCGCUAUGUACGCAACUUUGUUUUGAUGUGGGCCAAUAUCCAGGCUGUGUAGCUCAAGAUUCAGACGCUCAAGUUCAGCAACUCAAUGACUCAAGCCAUGAAGGGUGUCACUAAGGCCAUGGGCACAAUGAACAGACAGCUAAAAUUGCUCCAGAUCCAGAAGAUCAUGAUGGAAUUUGAGCAGCAGGCAGAGAUCAUGGACAUGAAGGAGGAAAUGAUGAAUGAUGCCACUGAUGAUGCCAUGGGUGAUGAGGAAGAUGAAGAGGAGAGUGAUGCUGUUGUAUCCCAGGUCUUGGAUGAGCUGGGACUGAGCCUGACAGAUGAGCUGUCCAACCUCCCCUCUACUGGAGGCUCACUCAGUGUAGCUGCUGGUGAGACAAAACCAGAAGCUGCAGCCUCAGCCCUGGCUGAUGCUGAUGCAGACCCGGAGGAGCGACUCAAGAACCUACGGAGAGUGCCACUUGGGAGUGCAGGGACCAGUGGAUGUCUGGAACCUUUACCAUAA